rnacentral:rRNA from 1 species
UACGUAGGGGGCAAGCGUUGUCCGGAUUUAUUGGGCGUAAAGCGUGUGUAGGCGGCCAUACAGGUCAGCUGUGAAAACUCGAGGCUCAACCUCGAGACGUCGGUUGAAACCGUAUGGCUAGAGUCCGGAAGAGGAGAGUGGAAUUCCCGGUGUAGCGGUGAAAUGCGCAGAUAUCGGGAAGAACACCCAUGGCGAAGGCAGCUCUCUGGGACGGUACUGACGCUGAGACGCGAAAGCGUGGGGAGCGAACAGG